rnacentral:rRNA from 1 species
GAUCAAGCUGUCGCCCGCGCGAGAUCAUCAUUAUCGAGUUUUGAAGCGGGAGGCCUGUGCUGGCGCGGAAACGCGCAUGUGCACGGCUUUUCGUGCUCAAAUCCAAUCAACCCCUGUGCACCUAAAGAGUCGGGAGUCAGUAGUCUCUGUAAUCGAAUUGCUUGUAGUGAGUAACUCGAGGGAGGAGGCGAAAGCUUUUGGCUAAUUUAUAAACACCUUUUGUUUGUAAUGUGAAUGUAAUGCUCCUCGUGGGCGAUAAUGAAAUACAACUUUCAACAACGGAUCUCUUGGCUCUCGCAUCGAUGAAGAACGCAGCGAAAUGCGAUAAGUAAUGUGAAUUGCAGAAUUCAGUGAAUCAUCGAAUCUUUGAACGCACCUUGCGCCCUUUGGUAUUCCGAAGGGCAUGCCUGUUUGAGUGUCAUGUUAAUCUCAAAUCACUUGUCUAUUCUUAACGGAAUGGGGCCUGUGAUUUGGACUUGGAGGUCUUUGCUGGCGCGAGGGGGGGGUUUUACUUCUCCUUGCUUUGUCGGCUCCUCUCAAAUCUAUUAGCUGGACUUUGGUUCGCGUUAGCGGUGUAAUAAUAUUCGUUUCACUAAGACGCUUGCCUAGAUGGUCUGCUUCCAAUCGUCCAUAGCAUGGACAAGGACCCGUCAGUGGCCUUUCUUGACACCUUUGACCUCAAAUCAGGUAGGACUACCCGCUGAACUUAAGCAUAUCUUAAACGGGGGAAAGAAAAAA